rnacentral:tRNA from 1 species
GCAGGCGUGACGGAGUGGCCAAACGUGACAGACUCAAGGCCUACGAUGAAAAUCUGUUGUCUUCCAAUUCAUAGGAAUUGGUGAGAUAUCUGUUGGCUUAGUGCCUACGCAGGUUCGAAUCCUGCCGCCUGCA